rnacentral:rRNA from 1 species
UUUAAUGGAGAGUUUGAUCCUGGCUCAGGAUGAAUGCUGGCGGCAUGCCUAAUACAUGCAAGUCGAGCGGUAG